rnacentral:pre_miRNA from 1 species
GAACUUCUUUCGAUAGCUUUGUUCUUCUGGAAGAACCUUCUUCCGGAGAAACUACCGGAAGAACUUCUUCCGGAUGAACAAUUUGUUCUUCCAGAAAAACCUUCUUCCGGAAGAACAAAGCUACCAGAAGAAGUU